AGAGUUUGAUCCUGGCUCAGAACGAACGCUGGCGGCAUGCCUAACACAUGCAAGUCGAACGAGACCUUCGGGUCUAGUGGCGCACGGGUGCGUAACGCGUGGGAACCUGCCUUUAGGUUCGGAAUAACAGUGAGAAAUUACUGCUAAUACCGGAUGAUGUCUUCGGACCAAAGAUUUAUCGCCUUUAGAUGGGCCCGCGUUGGAUUAGCUAGUUGGUGGGGUAAAGGCUUACCAAGGCGACGAUCCAUAGCUGGUCUGAGAGGAUGAUCAGCCACACUGGGACUGAGACACGGCCCAGACUCCUACGGGAGGCAGCAGUGGGGAAUAUUGGACAAUGGGCGAAAGCCUGAUCCAGCAAUGCCGCGUGAGUGAUGAAGGCCUUAGGGUUGUAAAGCUCUUUUACCCGAGAUGAUAAUGACAGUAUCGGGAGAAUAAGCUCCGGCUAACUCCGUGCCAGCAGCCGCGGUAAUACGGAGGGAGCUAGCGUUGUUCGGAAUUACUGGGCGUAAAGCGCACGUAGGCGGCUUUUUAAGUCAGGGGUGAAAUCCCGGNG
rnacentral:rRNA from 1 species